GAUGAACGCUAGCUACAGGCUUAACACAUGCAAGUCGAGGGGCAUCAGGAAGAAAGCCUGCUUUCUUUGCUGGCGACCGGCGCACGGGUGAGUAACACGUAUCCAACCUGCCCUUUACUCGGGGAUAGCCUUUCGAAAGAAAGAUUAAUACCCGAUAGCAUAAUGAUUCCGCAUGGUUUCAUUAUUAAAGGAUUCCGGUAAAGGAUGGGGAUGCGUUCCAUUAGGUUGUUGGUGAGGUAACGGCCCACCAAGCCUUCGAUGGAUAGGGGUUCUGAGAGGAAGGUCCCCCACAUUGGAACUGAGACACGGUCCAAACUCCUACGGGAGGCAGCAGUGAGGAAUAUUGGUCAAUGGGCGCUAGCCUGAACCAGCCAAGUAGCGUGAAGGAUGAAGGCUCUAUGGGUCGUAAACUUCUUUUAUAUAAGAAUAAAGUGCAGUAUGUAUACUGUUUUGUAUGUAUUAUAUGAAUAAGGAUCGGCUAACUCCGUGCCAGCAGCCGCGGUAAUACGGAGGAUCCGAGCGUUAUCCGGAUUUAUUGGGUUUAAAGGGAGCGUAGGUGGACUGGUAAGUCAGUUGUGAAAGUUUGCGGCUCAACCGUAAAAUUGCAGUUGAUACUGUCAGUCUUGAGUACAGUAGAGGUGGGCGGAAUUCGUGGUGUAGCGGUGAAAUGCUUAGAUAUCACGAAGAACUCCGAUUGCGAAGGCAGCUCACUGGACUGCAACUGACACUGAUGCUCGAAAGUGUGGGUAUCAAACAGG
rnacentral:rRNA from 1 species